GCCCAGCUCCUUACCCGCUUCGAGCUCCACUGUUGACCUCCGUGGAGGCGGUGCAAGACCCGGAUUGAAAGGCAACCUGGCCGUCGGACUCAGCAAGGACGGGCAGGGCGGCUUUGGUUUCAUCUGGGCGCUCCAGCCUUCUUUCUGCCUUACCCUCCUCCAACGACCUCCUAUGUCCGGCAUGUUUUCUAGGACCCAGAUGACGUCUACCGCAGAAAAGCCUCAGAAAGACAGUAUCAGAGAAGGCUGCAAGAUGCAUCAGAGACUGAACUUCAGCAGUCAAUAAAGUAAAUACCAAACUUUA